AACGAACGCUGGCGGCAUGCCUAACACAUGCAAGUCGAACGAGACCUUCGGGUCUAGUGGCGCACGGGUGCGUAACGCGUGGGAACUUGCCCUUAGGUUCGGAAUAACUCCCCGAAAGGGGUGCUAAUACCGGAUAAUGUCUUCGGACCAAAGAUUUAUCGCCUUUGGAUGGGCCCGCGUUGGAUUAGCUAGUUGGUAGGGUAAAAGCCUACCAAGGCGACGAUCCAUAGCUGGUCUGAGAGGAUGAUCAGCCACACUGGGGCUGAGACACGGCCCAGACUCCUACGGGAGGCAGCAGUGGGGAAUAUUGGACAAUGGGCGAAAGCCUGAUCCAGCAAUGCCGCGUGAGUGAUGAAGGCCUUAGGGUUGUAAAGCUCUUUUACCCGGGAUGAUAAUGACAGUACCGGGAGAAUAAGCUCCGGCUAACUCCGUG
rnacentral:rRNA from 1 species